UAGAGGUUCAAAUUUAAGGUGUUGACUAGUAAAAGGUUAUAUAAAGAUGUUGAUUAAGAAUAAAGAUGCAUGUGACUGUGUGACCAAUAAGCUUGUUGCCAUGUAAUGACCUCCACGCUGAAUGGACGUUAAUUACAAAGAGAAACUUCCUAUAUUUGCUUCAGUCAAUAUUAUGAUUCCUUCUUGGGUAAUAUGGCUUUCAAUUAAUUAAAACUAAUUACUAAGUUUCAUUUCCCA
rnacentral:lncRNA from 1 species